GGGCACCUACGGGGGCCUAGAACAUCAGGGAAGCGAAAGCUUCCCGCACAAGCAAACGGAAGACAGUUA
ncrna:unclassified sequences L2-Alphaproteobacteria ribosomal protein leader